rnacentral:miRNA from 1 species
UUGUUACAGUUUGGAUAUGUAGUGUCCCCUAAACUUUCACACUGUCUCACACAUGAAUGUUUAGGGGACACUACAUAUCCAAACUGUAACANAAAA